rnacentral:rRNA from 1 species
AUUGAACGCUGGCGGAAUGCUUUACACAUGCAAGUCGAACGGCAGCACGGACUUCGGUCUGGUGGCGAGUGGCGAACGGGUGAGUAAUGUAUCGGAACGUGCCCAGUCGUGGGGGAUAACGCAGUGAAAAUUACGCUAAUACCGCAUACGAUCUAUGGAUGAAAGCGGGGGAUCGCAAGACCUCGCGCGAUUGGAGCGGCCGAUAUCAGAUUAGGUAGUUGGUGGGGUAAAGGCCCACCAAGCCAACGAUCUGUAGCUGGUCUGAGAGGACGACCAGCCACACUGGAACUGAGACACGGUCCAGACUCCUACGGGAGGCAGCAGUGGGGAAUUUUGGGUAAUGGGCGAAAGCCUGAUCCAGCCAUUCCGCGUGCAGGAUGAAGGCCCUCGGGUUGUAAACUGCUUUUGUACAGAACGAAAAGGUUUCUACUAAUACUAGGAGCUCAUGACGGUACUGUAAGAAUAAGCACCGGCUAACUACGUGCCAGCCGCCGCGGUAA